UACAGAGGGUGCAAGCGUUAAUCGGAAUUACUGGGCGUAAAGCGUGCGUAGACGGUUGCGUAAGUCAGAUGUGAAAGCCCCGGGCUCAACCUGGGAAUUGCAUUUGAGACUGCGUAGCUAGGGUGCGGAAGAGGGAAGCGGAAUUUCCGGUGUAGCGGUGAAAUGCGUAGAUAUCAGGAGGAACACCGGUGGCGAAGGCGGGUCUCUGGGCCGUAACUGACGCUGAGGAGCGAAAGCGUGGGGAGCGAACAGG
rnacentral:rRNA from 1 species